GACAGAGCUCCCAACAUGGACCAGCUGGACGACAGAGGGAGCAAGUCACAGUAUGUUGCCAUUUCCCUGCUGUUCUGUGUUGCUCUGAGUGCUGCGGUGACUCCAGCAGGCAGCCCACUCCUCCAGGAACUCUUGGCCGUGCUGCUGGAUGAGAUGAAGUAGUGGAAGGAUGUGGAAUGAGGCCCAGAUGUGAUAGAACGCCGAUUUUGAAGGACUGUGUGUGGCUGAGAGUUACCUUCUGUGACAAGUGACAACAGGCAGAAAAGAUGAAUUGGCAACAAGAAGAGUAAAGACAGGGAAGAGUGCCUCAUGACAGUAGGCAGCAGGGACACAGUGUUGGCAAGAACAACAGAACUAAUAGCAGGAAUGCAGUGGAAGGUGGGAUCAUGGAAGUCUUGCUUAGUGUGUGACAAGACCAGCUAAAAGUGAUCCUUGACUACAGAAGCAUCUUCAGCUGGCAGUUUGUUGAAUUGGAGGAGAGAUAGUAGCAGGGUGUUCACAGCUCUCAUACUAUGUGGGUGAAAAAGCCCAUCAGGAACUGUCACAGG